GUCUGAUAAAUCGGACUCCCUUCCUGAACUCCCUAAGGCACCAAAGGUGUCUGUUGGACCGAAGGCGUCUGAACUAAAAGCCAAAGCUGAAGCUGAAGGCCAUGCCCUUAGGCGAUUGAGGAUGUGCCUACGAGAUGUAUGCAACAGGAUUCUGUAUGAUAAACGGUUUAGCGUCUUCCAUUAUCCAGUAAUGGAUGAGGAUGCUCCAAACUAUCGUUUGAUUAUCCAGAACCCAAUGGACAUGGCAACUCUAUUGCAGCAUGUAGACAGUGGGAAGUAUAUCACCAACAAAACAUUCUUAGAAGACUUUGAUCUCAUUGUUACCAACGCAAAGAAGUACAAUGGAGAUGAUUACAAUGGAGCGAGGAUUGUUAGUAGAGCUCAUGAACUUCGAGAUUCAGUAUAUGGAAUGCUUUCCCAAAUGGAUCCUGCCUUAGUUGCCUUCUGUGAGAAGAUUGCUGCUGAAGGGGGUCCAGUGUCAGUUCCUGACGAAUUAGGUGGAGAUGCAUUGCCACAAAAUCCCGUCUUACAGUCAUCUACUUUGACUAGAGCAAGAGCCCGCCUUCGUAAUGUCCAGCCUGAAGUCAACUUAGAUCAGAGCUUUGAAGCACUGAGAAGGCACAAGAAACAUGCUGAUUCUGCACAAUUGGUGCUAGAUGAUGAAUUACAACCUCAGGAUUCAUUGCCUUCCAAGUCAUCUAAUGACCAUGAAGGAGAUGCUUCAGACCAAAGGCCAGAAAGCACUCUUGCUGACGGUAAUAAAUCCGCAGACGUUCCAGAUGCAAGUGGAGACGCAUGCCAAGAUGUUACAAUGUCAGACACAGAAAUGUCCCGUAAAAUCGAGUCCGUGAAGAAGCAAUUCGUGAAGCACACAAAGGAGUACGGCAUUCCUCAGCUAGAAAGAUUAUACACUCGCAUCAUGAAGGGUGUUUUCGAAACGAAAACUGGUGUGACAAACGAAGAUCUCAAGACUUCAAUUUUGAGUUUCUUGUUAAAAUUUGCAAAGGAUGCGUCGAAG
rnacentral:misc_RNA from 1 species